AGAUUUACCCUUUCCUACAGAUUGAGCCGAAAAUCUAGCUAAUACCACUGCACAGUCCAGGUCCACCAUGUUGUGCUAACUUCAGAUCCCUGUCAUCCUUCUUGAACCUUUCUUCAUUAUGCUCAGUUGUUACCAGGGGAAGAUUCUCAUUCCUGAGAACUAUCUCCAUUCCAAUAGUAGGUGCAUUCAUGUCUGUAUUUCCAUCCCCAAUGUGAUAAUGUAUGUGCUUGUUCUCCUGCUGAUCUUCUGUAGAAUGAUCUCUUUGAUCAAAGGUCUAGAUGACCUAAUCUUUAGUGGACUUUUGUUGCUGCUCAUCAUCCUUUAUGUUUAAGGUUUUGUCUUUGAGUGUAA